rnacentral:rRNA from 1 species
UACGGGGGGGGCAAGCGUUGUUCGGAAUUACUGGGCGUAAAGCGCGCGUAGGCGGAUUUGCAAGUCGGGGGUGAAAGCCCGAGGCUCAACCUCGGAACUGCCCUCGAUACUGCAAAUCUCGAGUCCGAGAGAGGUGAGUGGAAUUCCUAGUGUAGAGGUGAAAUUCGUAGAUAUUAGGAAGAACACCAGUGGCGAAGGCGGCUCACUGGCUCGGUACUGACGCUGAGGCGCGAAAGCGUGGGGAGCAAACAGG